rnacentral:rRNA from 1 species
GUGGGGAAUAUUGGACAAUGGGCGCAAGCCUGAUCCAGCCAUGCCGCGUGAGUGAUGAAGGCCUUAGGGUUGUAAAGCUCUUUCAGUGGGGACGAUAAUGACGGUACCCACAGAAGAAGCCCCGGCUAACUUCGUGCCAGCAGCCGCGGUAAUACGAAGGGGGCUAGCGUUGUUCGGAUUUACUGGGCGUAAAGCGCACGUAGGCGGAUCGUUAAGUCGGGGGUGAAAUCCUGGAGCUCAACUCCAGAACUGCCUUCGAUACUGGCGAUCUUGAGUCCGGAAGAGGGGAGUGGAACUCCUAGUGUAGAGGUGGAAUUCGUAGAUAUUAGGAAGAACACCAGUGGCGAAGGCGGCUCACUGGUCCGGUACUGACGCUGAGGUGCGAAAGCGUGGGGAGCAAACAGGAUUAGAAACCCGAGUAGUCC